UCAUUGUCUGUAAACAACACAG
rnacentral:miRNA from 2 species